rnacentral:rRNA from 1 species
AACGAACGCUGGUGGCAUGCCUAACACAUGCAAGUCGAACGAGAUCUUCGGGUCUAGUGGCGCACGGGUGCGUAACGCGUGGGAAUCUGCCCUUUGGUUCGGAAUAACAGUUGGAAACGACUGCUAAUACCGGAUGAUGACGAAAGUCCAAAGAUUUAUCGCCAAAGGAUGAGCCCGCGUAGGAUUAGCUAGUUGGUGUGGUAAAGGCGCACCAAGGCGACGAUCCUUAGCUGGUCUGAGAGGAUGAUCAGCCACACUGGGACUGAGACACGGCCCAGACUCCUACGGGAGGCAGCAGUGGGGAAUAUUGGACAAUGGGCGAAAGCCUGAUCCAGCAAUGCCGCGUGAGUGAUGAAGGCCUUAGGGUUGUAAAGCUCUUUUACCCGGGAUGAUAAUGACAGUACCGGGAGAAUAAGCUCCGGCUAACUCCGUGCCAGCCGCCGCGGUAA